AUGACCAGGAGCCACACCCCGAAAUCCCUCGCCGUCCUGCUCCGUGCCAGGAUGCACCCCGACUCUAUCCCCUCGCCGCCGCCCGCUCCGUCACCCCCCGCCAGCCCCGAGCUCGACCCCAGUGCCCGGCCGGCCGCCGCCUCCUCCGUCCGCCACUGGCUCCACGCCUCAAUCGCCGCGGCCUCCCCGCCUCCCGCCGCCCUCGAGUGCUUCUCCGACGGGUACCGCUCCCUCGACCGACGCGGCCGCCACGAGAUCCUCCGAUCCCUCGCCACAGACUACGACGUGCCCCGCGCGCGGGUCCGCGAUCUCAUGCGCCAGUACGUGAGCGUCUCCGCCACCGGGGAGGGUGGGGACGAGCAGCCGGGGGCGGAGAGAGAGGAGGGCGGCGCCGCAUCGGCUUUGUACCGUAUGGAGAGGGGGCUCCGGGACGCGCUCCGGCCCAAGUACGCCGGGUUCCUCGAGGCCAUGAACGCGCAGCCUGGCGGGCUCAAGCUCCUCGCGGUCAUCCGAGCCGACCUCCUCGCCUUGCUGGGGGAGGAGAAUGCUCCUGUGCUGCGUGCAUUGGAUGGGUACUUGAAGGAGAAGCUCGUGACGUGGCUCAGCCCAGCGGCACUGGCACUCCACCAGAUAACCUGGGAUGAUCCUGCCUCCUUGCUGGAGAAGAUUGUGGCUUAUGAAGCUGUGCAUCCAAUCAGAAAUCUAAUAGACUUGAAGAGAAGGCUGGGUGUGGGCCGACGUUGUUUUGGUUACUUCCAUCCUGCGAUACCAGGGGAGCCCCUGAUUUUCAUCGAAGUUGCUCUCCUCAAAGAUAUGGCCACAUCUAUACAGGAAGUUUUGUUGGAUGUCCCUCCAAUCGCUGAAUGUGAAGCUAAAUGUGCACUGUUUUACUCAAUAUCAUCAACCCAGCCAGGCUUAUCAGGUAUUAAUCUGGGAAAGUUUCUUCUCAAGCGUGUCAUUGACAUGUUGAGAAAAGAUAUGCCUUCCGUGCAGAUUUUUGCUACUCUUAGCCCGAUACCUGGUUUCAUGCAAUGGCUUCUCGCUAAGUUGGCCUCUCAAAUAAAAUUAGCAGAGACAGAGAUGCAAGAGGGCAAUUCGAUAGAAGGUGCCAGUUCUACUUUCAGAGAAUCCAUCCUUUUCCCGGAGGAAGAGAAGAUGAUACACAGUGCCAUCGAUCAAGUCAACGGUAAACAAGGAAUUGAACUUUUGCAAGAUAUACUGAAAUCAAGUCAAUGGGCAAAGUCUGACAAAUUAUCUGCUGCGCUGAAAUCUCCUCUUAUGCGUUUGUGUGUAAGGUAUCUUACCAGAGAGACAAUACGAGGAAAAGCUCUAGAUGCUGUUGCUAAUUUUCACUUGCAAAAUGGAGCAAUGGUUGAGAGAAUAAACUGGAUGGCCGACCAAUCCGAGAAGGGCAUUGAACAAAGUGGAGGUAUCAUGGUCAAUUAUCUGUACAGGUUGGAGAAUAUAGAAGAAUAUGCAUCGUCUUAUUCGGCUACAGGGAUUAUCCAUACGUCACCUAACCUCUCCUAA
rnacentral:rRNA from 1 species